rnacentral:rRNA from 1 species
UGCCAGCAGCCGCGGUAAUACGAAGGGGGUUAGCGUUGUUCGGAAUUACUGGGCGUAAAGCGCGCGUAGGCGGAUUGGAAAGUUGGGGGUGAAAUCCCAGGGCUCAACCCUGGAACUGCCUCCAAAACUCCCAGUCUUGAGUUCGAGAGAGGUGAGUGGAACUCCGAGUGUAGAGGUGAAAUUCGUAGAUAUUAGGAAGAACACCAGUGGCGAAGGCGGCUUACUGGACCGGUACUGACGCUGAGGUACGAAAGCGUGGGGAGCGAACAGGAUUAGAUA